ACAACUUUAUAUUGUUGUGUUUCACGCCAUAUUAUCAGACCACCUUAAGUGGGUCCGCCUUAAAUUUUGAGUUUGUGUGAUCGCUGUUGAUUGGUAGCUAAACUGCUGGUAAACUGUGUACAGACGUUUUACGUUCGAAUUGCAGAGAAAAAAAAUUCUGGUUGCAACAUUGUGCAGUAUGAGCGAACCAUUUCACCAAAAAAAGGGGAAGCAAGGCAAGACGUGGCUGCAGCGGUCUGCAGACGUGACUUCUGAUCAAAUUCGAACCUCCUAAAGAAACAAAGAGCGACAUUAUAUUGCGGGAUGACGUCACCUGAAAAUGACCAAUAGCGCGGCGCGCUGCUGAGCUGUGUGCCAACCGCUCUUUUUUUCAUGCAGGAGACUCAAGUUGGCUUCGCUAACGGACACAGUUUUGAACUCGUAUAUUAGCGCCAUUUAUUGCUGCUUGGACCACAGCAUCUUUGGAAUUUGUAGACAUCCUGGCAGCUUACAAUUAGUUCGAGGUGAGGUGAGUACAUGCAACUUCAAGUUAUCUCUGUUAUAAAAAUCCACCAGCCCAGCGUUUAUAGAUAAUUUUAGCAGUUCGUUUUUUAUGAGUGAGGUUGUGAAUUUAGUUAGCAUUUGUGAGUUGAGUUAGCAUUACUGUCGCGAGGGAAGCAUUGCUCUGGAUUAGUUUCUGUGUUUGGCGUGCUUAAUUCGCUAGGGAGGAAUUACCAAAGUACAUGGAGUUAUGUUAACCUGUAAUUUCUGUGGUAAGGUAGUUCAGUCAUCAAGGGGCUACGUGCUUCAUUGUAAACUGCAUCGGAAUGAGCCACGUUGUUUCUUUCGGUGUAUUGAAGCAGGCUGCAAGCAGACAUACACCAGACACUGAAUUUGAGCAGAAACCAUAAGGAUACUCAAAGGACCUGUGACUCUCAGGAAAUGCAUCAAAUGAGAGGGACAGAUGAAACAGUUUCAAGACAAUGGCAGGAAAAACAUGCUGAAGAUUGAAACAAACCUUGGCUGGAAAUAUUUGAAAGUAUCUAGCCAGUCCACAAUGAAAGCUUCGUUGCACCCCAUGAGUCUUCUGGCAGAAAUGAUGGCGCCUGUAUUCUUUGGUUUCCCUAAACAUCACACCCUGCCUGUUUAUACGAGGCUCUUCAAUUAAGUCUGCACCCAAAGAUUCAAUAAGAGAGGGGAUCCUGCCAGUCCAAAGUGAACUCCUGAUGGACA